rnacentral:rRNA from 1 species
CAGUAGCCGCGGGAAAACGAAGGGUGCAAGCGCUAAUCGGAAUUACUGGGCGUAAAGCGUGCGCAGGCGGUUAUAUAAGUCAGAUGUGAAAUCCCCGGGCUCAACCUGGGAACUGCAUUUGAGACUGUAUGGCUAGAGUGUGUCAGAGGGGGGUAGAAUUCCACGUGUAGCAGUGAAAUGCGUAGAUAUGUGGAGGAAUACCGAUGGCGAAGGCAGCCCCCUGGGAUAACACUGACGCUCAUGCACGAAAGCGUGGGGAGCAAACAGGAUUAGAUACCCCAGUAGUCCCUGUCUCUUAUAC